UAAAUGUCCACUUUUUUUAACACACCUGGUUUUGCUGCGCCCUCUGCAGGCUCCCCCGCAGUACUGCAAGGAUGCGUCAGGGCUGCUUGCAUUCAGAUGUGCCUCUGGCGGUAGAAUUCGAGAAGCGUUCUGAACUUUGCGCUCUUGUGCCUGUCCGACAGUGACAUCAUGUGGCGGCUGGUGGAACUGCAACGACUCAUCUGUGGCCCAAGUCUCCACCACCUGUGCAGCAGUGGAAGUACCUUCCAGGCAAGGUGGGGAAAGCACCUCUUUGAGCAGGGUAAAAUCCGGGUACACCCCAUCCACAAACAGCAGCCCUUCCAUGGUACAUGGGGUGUUCGAUCAGAUCUGCAGCCUCGAUUAAUAUGAUUUGAGUUGGGUCUCAAUCAGUGUGACGUUUGAGAUUAAAGUAUAGACCUUUAGCCUUUUUUGGGAAGGGGGGGACGCUGAUCCCCUUAGGGGCUGCACAGAAACCUCUAUGACUGGAUCUUGGAGAUUUAGGAGGCAAAACCUUCAUCCCACGUGAAUUCCUUUGCAAAAGUCUUUUGGAUCCCUGUACAAAUUAAAGUCCAUGUUAUGUGGAUACAACCAAGAAAAAAAAAGCACUUGUUUAACCCUUUACCUGCUUAUAAUGCAAACCUGGUGAUUUAAAUAGAGAGUUCUUAUACAAAGUGUUUGGCAGGUGAAGGGUUAAUACGACAGGAGGGGUCAGCAAGCCCUCCCUAAAUUGAAUCAGCUGCUAGUUACCAUCAGGACCUCCCAUGUAUUAUGGCAGGGUCAGUCUAUAAAGGGGGGUCAGGUCACAGAGCUCCAUUUUAUUUUUUUCCUUUGGGUAUUUGGAGGAGAUGGGGUAAAGGGUGUUGCUGGUUUUAAAAUUCUCAUCUAUGUGGUUUGCCAAAUGCAGAUUUUUAUUUUUUUUUAUGACAAAAGUUUAAGCUCAUCAUUUUAUCUUGGGUUUACACACACAAAAAAAAAUGAAUUGAAAGUAUGAAUGUUUAUCAGUUAUUUGUAUAUGUGUAAAUAUGGUGAAUUGGAAAACUGUAUUUGUUAAAUUUAGGCUAACGUUGCCUGCCCUUGAAUAUGAUAAAAGCGAAAACAAAGUUUAUUUGAUAAACUGAAGUGCAAAACUCAGGUUAAAACAUCAAACUUGUGAUUGUUGUAGCCAGCAUGGAGAUUUUCCCUAAUUCAAUAUUUGCCUCAACUUAAAUAAUGGAUGAACCCAAUUUAUAAAUAAAAUCUCAUUCCAGUAGGAAGAUUCCAUUAUUUUUUUUCUUAGUAAAUUAUUUUUAAAUCAAUUUUGGCUUACUUGCCUCUUGCACAUUUGGUUUACUGUUACAUUUAUGGGUUUAUUUACUAAACAGUGAAUUGAUGGAGCUAAAGUGUCACAGAUAUAGGUUGUGUAUUUGUUUUACAUAUGUAAUAUCAGUGGUUAUUGUAUUGCUUUCUAAAUGUUUAUAUGUGGUAUUGUGUGCACAUUUGUCUCUGGUGUUAAAUGUGAUAAUAUGGCUGAUCGAGGGUGGGGGGGGGGAAGCUUGUUCCUUUUCUCUAAUUUUUGCAGUUUUGUUUUUAGUUCACCAUAAUUCUUGGUUGAGAAAAUUGUGACCCCUAAACUGAAUAAAUGUGCGCUUUGUAAUGUG